rnacentral:rRNA from 1 species
AUACGGGAGGCAGCAGUGGGGAAUCUUGCGCAAUGGGCGAAAGCCUGACGCAGCAACGCCGCGUGGAGGAAGAAGGCCUUCGGGUUGUAAACUCCUGUCAGGGGGAAAGAAGGCACCUGGGUUAAUAGCCCAAGGGCUGACGGUACCCCCAGAGGAAGCCACGGCUAACUACGUGCCAGCAGCCGCGGUAAUACGUAGGUGGCGAGCGUUGUCCGGAAUCAUUGGGCGUAAAGAGCGCGUAGGCGGCUUGUCAGGUCCGACGUGAAAUCUCAGGGCUCAACCCUGAACGUGCAUCGGAAACCGGCUUGCUAGAGUCUGGGAGAGGAGAGUGGAAUUCCUGGUGUAGCGGUGAAAUGCGCAGAUAUCAGGAGGAACACCAGUAGCGAAGGCGGCUCUCUGGAACAGUACUGACGCUGAGGCGCGAAAGCUAGGGGAGCAAACAGGAUUAGAUACCCUGGUAGC